UCUUUGCUUUUAGUAUAUAUUUAUUUGUAAUUCAGAAUCCCAUGACUGUUGGUGGUUUUUAAGUGAUUAUUUUGUAUAAUUUAAGGGUCAUCAUAUAAUGUGUUUCUUAAUUUCUACGUCAUCAUCACUGUUUUUUCAUCAAGGCGUCCUUUUAUUCUGAUUAUAGUUUCUUCGUCAUUGGCACACAUAUACAAAACCCUGAAAAAGAUUGUAAACCCUAAUGAUGAACAUUAUGGGGUAGUUUUCUUGGUCAACUGUCUUGUGCUCGAUUGUUGCUAAGGUUACCUGCUCUUUUGAAUGAAACAUGAUCCUAUUCUUUGAAAAUCUAAAGGUUUGUUAUGGUUCUCCUAAUUUUUUCAACUCAUCUUUUUCUCUUCUCUGAAUUUGUCCUGUUUUGAUUUUUGUUAGGUUACUUGUUCUAUUGAUUGAGUCUUUGCUGUUAUCUUUAGCAAUCAAAUAUUGGUCAUGUGGUUUUCCCUUUAUUAGUUUUUCUUCAUCAACUCUGCUUUUUAUCAAGGAAUCUGUCUUGCUCUUGUUUCGUAUUCUAUUGAUAGCUUUUUGUCAAGAAAUGACCAAGGAAGUACAACCUGACUCUGUAUCUGUGUGUGCCGUCCAGGGACUGAUUAUUGUCUAUAUAAUAAUCUGAUAUGGAUGGUCUGGUCACUACUUUCUUUUUCCCCUGAUUUUUUUCAUUCUGUAUAUGAGAUGUGCACUGUGCAAUCCCAUUUAUGCUUUUAUAGACGCUAGAGGUGCCAUGUUGUGCAGGUUUGGUAACGAAUAAUAUGGAGCCGGGUCGAACUGAUCAUUCUUAGUAUGGGUUGUGUUGAUCCUCAAAUAGAUUAUUGUCCACUUCUUGUUUAAAGAUAUAAUUACAGUAAUAAUCUGAAAUUCUGUAUUUUGAAUUCUUGAAUAAAAUGAUUAAGGAGGUUAUAUGCAUUUAAAAAUAGACACUGGGUUUCUUUGAAUCUGGUUGCUCCGUUCAAACCGUUUAAAUAAGGUUACUGAAUUAGCCCCUAAGAUAGAACUGGACCCAAAUCAACCAAUUCAUUAGUAUGUGCCGAUGUGGGCUGACUUUUCCAGCUAAUACGAAAGCUGUGUGAACCAUAGACAAUGGAUCUCAUGAUCUCCUCAUCUUUGAGAAUUUUACUCUCUGCAUCAAUUACAGGAAACCGUAUGGCUGACUUAAUGUUCUCUUGGGAGUGCCUAAUUACCUUCAGCCCUUCAGGAUGAUCCAAUCUGCUUAAUCUGGUUAGAAUUUUGUUUUUCCUUUUUUUGAGUACUUCUUAUAUAGAAGUAGAAGUUGUUGUUCUCUUACUGUUCAGAAACUAUACUUUCUUGGAACUCUUUUUCCAAUUUUGUUUAUCCAUAAUAACUAAGUAGUCCUGGCGUUGAUGUUAA